ACAUUGUGUGUUAAUAUUGUGCUUAACUGUUUACACAAUGACUGUGUUAAACACAUUUAAACAGUAUGUUGGAAUACAGUGCAUUUUUGGUCGUAGUCAAAUGGCACUGUGUUAUGUGUUUAUGUAGUUUAUUUAUCAUGAUGGUAAUAUAAAAUAAGCAAUUGUGAGAAUGUGGUUGAAAAUUCUGUAUUUCGGGAUUUAUGCUGUGGAAUUUCUACACGCGCAUGCGCAGUGACGUUUUUUUUCAACCGUCGCUCUCCCAGACCUCUGUCGGAUAAUGCACCUCUCUGCCUCAGAUGAUGGAAGUCGAGGAACAAAUUACAGUCCCUCUAACAGUUUUACACCGAGUUCUUGCAACUGUCUUCAUAGACGGAAAGGAAAUAUGGAGAAAACUAUCCUCAGUCAAACCUGAACUGUCUCGACUAUCUCUUGAUUGAAUAUUGAAAUUUGACACAGAUUUUCAAGAGUUCAUUGACACUGAUGUAAAUGCAGGAGAACAGGAGCUUGACAAAUUUCAAAUAAAUUAUAUUGCAAGCAACACCCCCGACUCAUUAGAAAGUGUGCACUCAUUACAGUGUCCUUUAACAGAUUCAACUCAGACUGGCACCACAACUAGUUUGCUGACGCUGCUUGAAGAAAAAGCCUCUACAAUCCUGAGAGAACAUGAAGAGACAAAGACGCUGUCCAUUUUCUCAUGAAAGAUUCUUGUUAAAGUUGCUGUCAGUGACCUUGUAGAGAAACAUGCAUUCUAUCCAAUUUGGUACAGAAAAACUGGCACUACCAAAAGAGAUUGUGUCAUUGUUCCCCUCGUUAAGGAUUCAUGUGCCCUUUGGUGAAAACGAGGGACAUGAGCAUUUUUUGCUGGGCCAUCACACAGUGGAUUUAUUGAAAUGAGAUUACGUAACAUCAGAUGAAAGCUUCAACAGAGCCAGCGGGUGUACAGUUUGAAACAUCGUCAUUGUACACCGCAACCUUCUUUACCAAGUCCAGAUGAAACUGUACCAAAUGGACAUUGAAUCCGGAAAUGGGACGGGACGAUAAUUCCAAAACUCAAGAAAAUAGCAUCCUUGGAGAGGAAAAAUGACAUCAGACACUUACUGGAGAAGGCUGACAAUCAGCAUGAUGGUGUGAGUUUCAGCCAAAAUGUCUGUUAUGAGCUGUGUUACACUAUGUUGAAGAUCCUUAUUCAUCUUCUUCCACCCAAUGCAUCUGUGAGAAGUGUAGCUGGGAGUAAAUGCUGUGUGACUUCUGCUGUGUCCUACCUGUUGGUACAAGUUCCGGCUGGUACUAACGUUACAUCUUUGCUCGCUGAAUCCAUGAAAGGGACCGUGAAGUCAGCUCAGCCGCAGUUGUUUUCCAUCGGUUCUAUAGGACAUGAUCCCAGUACGUAAUUGUGGCAAAGAAUGACUCUUUUGCUCUUCCAUUUGAUGUUGAAAGCCUGACCUGUGCUGUGACAGACUUUUCAAAUUCUUCUGGCUGUGCACUCUUCAGUAUCCAUGCCAACUGUCUUCUGUUUUAAUUUUUUUGAGUGUAUAUAUAUAUAUAUAUGACCUGUCUUUGUCUUGCAAACGAUCAAAGUUCAUGGAAUUGAUUGCUAAGGUGCAGUCUCGUACCUAAUUGAAAUAAGCAUGUACACCUGUCCAAAGUGUCUUUAAAAUGAUUGUGUUGAAACAAAGGGGUUAAUUUGGCAUUUAAGGGAAGUGCAUGUACUCUAUGAUAGUCACAACCUAACUAUUUUUUAGUCAAAAUGGUUAAUUACAAUUCCUUUUUAAAACAUCUGAACAGAGAUCACUUUAAAAUGAAUUCAUGCCCUUCUAUAGAGUCAGGACACACAGAGAACUUGGAUAUAUCCAAUCAAAUUGAUGAAAGCAGAAUAAGUAACUUGAGGAUAAUGUCCAUAUGUUUCUGAGAGUUUUAAGAGUAAAGUAUUUUGAUGAACAUCUUUUUCCUUCUUUGUCAUCCGAACAAAUGAUUUUGACAUGGCUUUGCUGCCUGGGGACUUAAUAGAUUACAGACCUCUAGACAUUGUGUCAUUUUGUGAUCAGCAGUAUGUAACUCCUAAAUACAAAAUUUUGUUUUAAACAUGUUAGUGGUUGAAACUUCGGUAACACUUUAUAAUAACUACACCCUAUAAAUCAUU